GGUACUCUUAACUGAUUAGCCACCUUUUCCUAGCUAAUACCUUUCUUCACUUUGACAUGGCUUCAAUUAGCACUGCCUUGAAAACUUUGUGGUUGAAGUUGCCUCGGUACUUCCUAACACUUUUGCAUAUUGUGUCAGAUUCUUCUAAACUAGAGAUUUGGCUAUUAUAAAAUACUAGAACUAGCAAAUUAAGUUUUUCAAAGAAAAUAUACAUAAACUUUUUCUUGGUAUUUCAAAAGUGAAGGACCUUAGAUUCUGGCUAUUUCUGGAAGUUAACUAAUUCACUUGGUUUGUUA
rnacentral:misc_RNA from 1 species